GAUGAACGCUGGCGGCGUGCCUAAUACAUGCAAGUCGAGCGAACAGACGAGGAGCUUGCUCCUCUGACGUUAGCGGCGGACGGGUGAGUAACACGUGGAUAACCUACCUAUAAGACUGGGAUAACUUCGGGAAACCGGAGCUAAUACCGGAUAAUAUAUUGAACCGCAUGGUUCAAAAGUGAAAGACGGUUUUGCUGUCACUUAUAGAUGGAUCCGCGCCGCAUUAGCUAGUUGGUAAGGUAACGGCUUACCAAGGCAACGAUGCGUAGCCGACCUGAGAGGGUGAUCGGCCACACUGGAACUGAGACACGGUCCAGACUCCUACGGGAGGCAGCAGUAGGGAAUUUUCCGCAAUGGGCGAAAGCCUGACGGAGCAACGCCGCGUGAGUGAUGAAGGUCUUCGGAUCGUAAAACUCUGUUAUUAGGGAAGAACAAAUGUGUAAGUAACUAUGCACGUCUUGACGGUACCUAAUCAGAAAGCCACGGCUAACUACGUG
rnacentral:rRNA from 1 species